AUUGAACGCUGGCGGAAUGCUUUACACAUGCAAGUCGAACGACAGCACGGGUGCCUGCACCUGGUGGCGAGUGGCGAACGGGUGAGUAAUGCACCGGAACGUAUCCAAUAAUGGGGGAUAACGCACCGAAAGGUGUGCUAAUACCGCAUACGCCCUGAGGGGGAAAGCGGGGGAUCGUAAGACCUCGCGUUAAUGGAGCGGCCGAUGCCGGAUUAGCUAGUUGGUGAGGUAAAGGCUCACCAAGGCGACGAUCCGUAGCUGGUCUGAGAGGACGACCAGCCACACUGGAACUGAGACACGGUCCAGACUCCUACGGGAGGCAGCAGUGGGGAAUUUUGGACAAUGGGCGCAAGCCUGAUCCAGCCAUUCCGCGUGAGUGAAGAAGGCCUC
rnacentral:rRNA from 1 species